rnacentral:rRNA from 1 species
AGUGAACGCUGGCGGCAUGCCUAACACAUGCAAGUCGAACGGAAGCAUAGUAAGAUUGUGCUCCUACGGGUGGCGAGUGGCGGACGGGUGAGGAAUACAUCGGAAUCUAAUUUUUCGUGGGGGAUAACGGGGGAAAACUGAUGCUAAUACCGCAUAUGACCUACGGGAGAAAGCAGGAGUUAAUCGCACCUUGCGUGACUCAAAUAGACGAUGUCGGAUUAGCUAGUUGGCGGGGUAAAGGCCCACCAAGGCAACGAUCCGUAGCUGAGCUGAGAGGGUGAUCGGCCACACUGGAACUGAGACACGGUCCAGACUCCUACGGGAGGCAGCAGUAGGGAAUCUUGGGCAAUGGGCGCAAGCCUGAUCCAGCCAUGCCGCGUGGGUGAUGAAGGUCUUCGGGUCGUAAAGCCCUUUUGUUAGGAAAGAACAGCUGCAGAUUUAUACCCCGCUGUUCUGACGGUACCCAAAGAAUAAGCCCCGGCUAACUUCGUG